GGGGAUUGCAAUUAUUCCCCAUGAACGAGGAAUUCCCAGUAAGUGCGGGUCAUAAGCUUGCGUUGAUUAAGUCCCUGCCCUUUGUACACACCGCCCGUCGCUACUACCGAUUGGAUGGUUUAGUGAGGCCCUCGGAUCGGCCCCGCCGGGGUCGGCCCACGGCCCUGGCGGAGCGCUGAGAAGACGGUCGAACUUGACUAUCUAGAGGAAGUAAAAGUCGUAACAAGGUUUCCGUAGGUGAACCUGCGGAAGG
rnacentral:rRNA from 1 species